rnacentral:rRNA from 1 species
AUUGAACGCUGGCGGCAGGCUUAACACAUGCAAGUCGAGCGGAGAUGAGGUGCUUGCACCUUAUCUUAGCGGCGGACGGGUGAGUAAUGCUUAGGAAUCUGCCUAUUAGUGGGGGACAACAUUCCGAAAGGAAUGCUAAUACCGCAUACGUCCUACGGGAGAAAGCAGGGGAUCUUCGGACCUUGCGCUAAUAGAUGAGCCUAAGUCGGAUUAGCUAGUUGGUGGGGUAAAGGCCUACCAAGGCGACGAUCUGUAGCGGGUCUGAGAGGAUGAUCCGCCACACUGGGACUGAGACACGGCCCAGACUCCUACGGGAGGCAGCAGUGGGGAAUAUUGGACAAUGGGGGAAACCCUGAUCCAGCCAUGCCGCGUGUGUGAAGAAGGCCUUAUGGUUGUAAAGCACUUUAAGCGAGGAGGAGGCUACUGAGACUAAUACUCUUGGAUAGUGGACGUUACUCGCAGAAUAAGCACCGGCUAACUCUGUGCCAGCCGCCGCGGUAAGAC